UUCCUUUGGAUGUGAUGUUUUUUGCUAUUGAAUCGAACUACAUGUGUUAAACACUUCAUUUUCUAGUGGGAAUGAGUACAGCACAAAUGUAGGUGCCAAACACUUGAAUCGGUCAACUCCGUUUCAGUUAAAAUCUAUGUGGAAAACAAUGUGAAAUUCACAUGAAAUGCAAAUAGAUCGUUUUUAUGUGCAUUUCAUUGAAACAUAGUAUGAUUUCCACUAAAUAUCAACAAUUUUUAACUUCAUUUUAUAAGUAAAGUGUAUAUUUUCAUGAAUUUCAUGUGUUCUACAAGCAGGGAUAGAUCAAAUGCUUUGCACAUGGUGCUAGCGGGCAAAUUAUUUUCAGUGCAUGUCGCAGCUUACUUUGAUUGGAUUCCAAACAUGAAAUAUAGAUUCUGUCAUUCGACGAAUAACUGAACGAAAACACAAUUAAGACAGUUGACGAAAUACUUUGAGACAUAAACCUUCGAAAAUUUUCUCACUUCCGAAAUCACUUACUAGGAUUUUCAAUAGUUGUCUAUCAAAACACUGGACCUAGGAGGAAAAUUACGAAAAAAUUACAGCGCUCUCUAUUCCGCUGGCUGACUGACGCUCGAAUUUAGUCUCGAAUAGUACAUCGUUCGAGAGACUCCGGGACUAACUAAGAAAACAACAUUUCUUUUGCAAAAUUAAAAUGAAAAAAUAUAUUUCAAGUGCAAUAUAAUCAUUCUAGCGCUCUAAGUUUCUAACUUUUCGAUGCCAUGCUUUUUUAGUCAUUGGACUCAAAAUAGGCUUCAGUUGCAGCGACAUCGAGCGAAAUCUUUUUCCCUGAUGCAUCUUUCUCAAACCGGCAAAGAGCCAGUUGUAGCUGGGGCUGAAUCUGGAGAGUACGGUGGGUGAGCAUCGAAGCAGAUCGAAGCCCGAUUCGUUCAAUUUGGCCAUUGAUUUCAUUGACUCGAGGUCCGAAGCAUUGUCUUGUGGAAGGAUAAUUUUUUUUCUUCAAAUAAGGCUGCUUAUUUUCAAUUUUGUUCUUCAAACGCACCAAUAACUCAAUUUAAUAGUCGCAUUCGAUGGUUCGUUCCUUUUCAAGGUAGUGGAUCCAUGUUUCGUCUACUGUCACAUACCGACGCAAGAAAUUCAGUUUGCUGUUAUUAAUCAAUACUAAAUCCAGAUUUUAGCGUAACAUCGUUUCCAUGUGUUAACUAUCUCUGCAAUCUCACACACUUCAAUUGUUCGGUAAAUUCUUCUAGAUGGCCUACACAACUCACUCAGAUGGCGUAACGCAUAUCCCGGUUUGCGGAGCUGGAAGUACCUGACUGGAAUUGGACUUCUAAAUUGAAAAGCAAAGCUGUAGUGGAAUUUGACCUUCUGUUUCAACAGACUUCGCAGCCGAUUCAGAGUGUACAGAACCAGUGCAUGGCUGGUGCUACGAUUCUACUGACACUACGAAUCCUUCCAGGUCGGGGCUCGAACAUACGACAACUGGUUUGUAAGACCAGCGCCCUAUGCAUUGAACCGCCAACCCGGGACAACUUCUAAAUUGAACUGAUGUUUAUUACUUCGGAUGAUGGAACCGGUUUUCAAAAACUCAAAUUCAAGCGAAAGAUCUUUUGCCUACCAUGAUCAGCUAUUAAUUUUUUUCCUGAUCCAGCUAAAAAACUUAGGAUCAUCAUAAAGGGUAAUUUUUAGGAGGUAUAGGAUUUGAAUAAUGCCACCGGCCCUGUAGAUUAUGGGUUUGACAGUGACUUUUUGGGAUGCAUUGGUAGCUUUUGCAAUACUUCUGACUGGUCUUUACUCCUGAUGCGGCAAUUUUACUUGUUGACGUAUCCAUUCAUUUAGAAAUGAGCUUCGUCACUGAACCCAUUUUUCGAUAAAAAAGUUGAUCUUCUUACACGUGAUCUGUCAGAAACAGUGUUGCCAAAAUCAGCAAAAAAUCACCCUUUAUAAGUGAGAACGCGAAAAUGAUACGAGAUCUGCAAAACUGGUCAAAAAUUAUUCUAAUUUGUAGGUCUUAUUAAUUUAUGGUUGCUAUAUUGGUCUCGAAUUUUCGUUUCUGGAACAAUGGAAAAUACUGGGUCAGAAAAUACGCGAAUGGAACUCACUUCGAUUUGUCGGAUAUGGCUGUUGCGUUUUUUACAUCGCCCGGUAUUGAUUUUUUUCGCAUCCGGUUUCUGGUUCCGGAAUUACACAAAUUCAUGAGUCUAAACAUCUCAAAACUGUUGUAUAAGUAACGAUGCAAUAAACGCACGAAAUCUUCAAAACUGAUCUGAAAACUAUUAAAAACUCGUUACGUUGGCGUUCAAAGUAUUUUAAAAGUGGAAUUACUUCGAAUUCUCAUAUAGCCGAUGAUGAGAAAGGCAUCAUUACACUCUGUCACCAGAACUCAGAUCCGGAUGAAAUCCGACGUCGAUUGAUAAAACAUGGUCUUUCGAUUCUUAGAUAUUUGUUAUGUCUCAUAUCGGAAAUUGAUGUGUCCAAUAGACCAGUAAAAUUGAAGUAAUUUGAUGUUAUUUAUCUCAGAUUUUGUCCCUGCCUAGUCAGAAUGACCAUUUAGUUCAUUCUAAGUUUUUGAAAGUCGGAACAGUCAACUGUGAAAAAAAAACUACUAACAGGCCGACAACAACAACAAUAAAUCGUUCUGCUCAAUUGGAUCACCUUCCUACAUGUGUUUAAUCGCAUCUCCAAAGUAGUUCAAUUGGCAAAACAGUUUCACCGGUUGAAAAAAAAUUGCAUGUUCGAGUUCUCCUUUGGAAUGAUGCUUUUUCGGGAGUUUUUAUUUCGCGAAUUUAUUGAUUUACUUUAAUAACUUCCUAUCAGUAACUCAGUUCUAAAUCGUCGUGUUUCAAAUAUUCCGAUUGAAAACAACAUAAAUUUGUUUUCGGUAGAUUUCCACUUAAAAAUAGUCAAGCAGUAGUAAGCGUGCACGAAUAUUUUCGAUAAACAAUCGUAGUAGGCUCACGCGUCGGACGAACUUUUUCGAUUGUGUCAGACGAUAGUUUUUCAGUUUUCCUGCGGUUGCCAAAGCGGCGUGUGUCAUCCAAACGACAAGAUACCUGAUCACAAAGCUGCUUUACCGUGUUUUCUUCCUCUGACUUGUCGUUUGGAUUGCUUUGAAAAUUGUACAAUGCUGUAAUCUAUGCUAUCUAUCGAACUUGCUGUGCCAUAAAACCAUGAAAUUUCAGCGCCACACGAGAACGAAGAAGAUUUUAUUAUUCAGCUUCAAAAGGAAAAGGCAAAACGGGAGAUACACUACGAUACAAUUAGAUCAUAUUUCAUCAUAAUCUAAUAACAAUUGGAAACCGGUAUUGCGUGGCACCGCCUAAUUCCGUUGUCAUCGGCAUACCGCACCGAAUACUGAUGAAAACCCAUUACGAUAUCCGACACCAACCUGAAUGUGAGCUGACUCAACGCUCCAGAAAAAAAAAUUGUGGGUGGCAUCGAUUUUUUUCCAGGGAACUUUUCCGGUACGUGAUUCUUCUUUAAUAUGGCAUUCAAUUUAGCCUACAGCAGCACACGGAUCGGGCCUUUCAGAGGAGUUUGUUGUUGGUGUUGUUGUUGUGGUUGAAUGUAAAGCUGAUAAGAAAUGUGGAAGAUUAUUUGUAAACAUUGAAUCUGCUGUGCGCGACUUUUCGUUCCAAUCGUUUGGAACGAGAAGUCAAGACUAAUUACCGUAUUGUGCUACGGCCGGCUUAGCGGAUCGGGAAAAUAAAUAUAACACCUAGGGUAGCUGUACUCCAUUCGUCUUAUCGUUUGUUCUGUAGUAAUUGGCUAAAUCACGAAAAAUCGAAACAAACAUGUAGAAUUUCUUCCUCUGUUGUUUUAGGACAUCAGGUAAGGAUAACAGACUACACCGUUGUGCAGUACUUGCCAGAGGAACUAAUGGUUGACAGAUCGCGUCUUUGUUUUUGUUAGCACUAAUUUUUCCUCCAGAAAUACUUUAAACUGACGCACAAAAAUUUCCGUUAGUCGUGGUGGCCCAACCAGAGUGAUAUACGCCCUUAUUCUGAAUAACGUCGUAUCGUUUUUCCCUCGUAUUUCAUUUGUAUUCCCCAUAACGCUAGCAAAAUCAAAGGUAGCUAUGAUUCGAUCGAACCACAUUCGAUCGAAAAAUCAAUACGUCGUUAUUCAGAAUAAGGGCGAUAGUUUUUUCAACUGCUCGACUGUCAAAUUUUAACCAAAAGUUAAAAUAAUUCGCGACAGUUUCUCUUUGUCUACUUUCUCUUUUACGAUUUACCGGAUUGAUUUUAUA